rnacentral:rRNA from 1 species
CACGGAAUUAGCCGGUCCUUAUUCAUGCGGUACCUGCAAACAUCCACACGUGGACACCUUUAUCCCCGCAUAAAGGAGGUUUACAACCCAUAGGGCAGUCUUCCCUCACGCUACUUGGCUGGUUCAGCCUUACGGCCAUUGACCAAUAUUCCUCACUGCUGCCUCCCGUAGGAGUCUGGACCGUGUCUCAGUUCCAGUGUGGGGGACCUUCCUCUCAGAACCCCUACCGAUCGAUGCCUUGGUGGGCCGUUACCCCGCCAACAAGCUAAUCGGACGCAUCCCCACCCUUUACCGAUAAAUCUUUGCUCCGACACAGAUGUCCGGGACGGAGAACAUGGGGGAUUAAUCCGCCUUUCGACGGGCUGGACCCCAGUAAAGGGAAGGUUGGAUACGCGUUACUCACCCGUGCGCCGGUCGCCAUCGGCCCAUCCCGAAAGAUAGGCCAUGCUGCCCCUCGACUUGCAUGUGUUAAGCCUGUAGCUAGCGUUCAUCCUGAGCCAGGAUCAAAACUCUA